UCAAUCAUAGCAUGUCGCCACCUUGGUUGAAACAAUGCUUCACAUGUCGACUUAGGGAUGGAAACAUAUGACAAAGAAGAUAAAAAAACAUAAUAGGAUGAUGAUAAAUGAUGAUAACUCAAACCGACAUAAUGGGGAUUAAGAUUAAGGGUGGUCCAUAUAGCUUUCUGAAGUGCAAUCGGUGUACUAGGAAGAGAGAAGUCCGCAGUAGGAGGAGGGCCAGAUGGAGGAUGUGAAUCAGCU
rnacentral:lncRNA from 1 species